GAUUUCUGACUUGGCGCACCUGGCCCGCCACGGUUACGUGUGUGAGUGCCGGGAUGCGCCUGUCACUUUUCUAGUCAACUAUUGUGUUCUUCAUUGGAUGCGAUAGGUAGCUAGAUAUUUUACUUUGAAAAAAUUAGAGUGUUUAAAGCAGGCGUUUGCUAUGAAUACAUUAGCAUGGAAUAAUAAGUUAGGACUUCGGUUCUAUUUUGUUGGUUUCUAGGACUGAAGUAAUGAUUGAUAGGGAUAGUUGGGGGUGCUAGUAUUCAGCGGCCAGAGGUGAAAUUCUCGGAUUCGCUGAAGACUAACUUAUGCGAAAGCAUU
rnacentral:rRNA from 1 species